GAUGAACGCUGGCGGCGUGCCUAAUACAUGCAAGUCGAGCGAACGGACGAGAAGCUUGCUUCUCUGAUGUUAGCGGCGGACGGGUGAGUAACACGUGGAUAACCUACCUAUAAGACUGGGAUAACUUCGGGAAACCGGAGCUAAUACCGGAUAAUAUUUUGAACCGCAUGGUUCAAAAGUGAAAGACGGUCUUGCUGUCACUUAUAGAUGGAUCCGCGCUGCAUUAGCUAGUUGGUAAGGUAACGGCUUACCAAGGCAACGAUGCAUAGCCGACCUGAGAGGGUGAUCCGCCACACUGGAACUGAGACACGGUCCCGACUCCUACGGGAGGCAGCAGUAGGGAAUCUUCCGCAAUGGGCGAAAGCCUGACGGAGCAACGCCGCGUGAGUGAUGAAGGUCUUCGGAUCGUAAAACUCUGUUAUUAGGGAAGAACAUAUGUGUAAGUAACUGUGCACAUCUUGACGGUACCUAAUCAGAAAGCCACGGCUAACUACGUG
rnacentral:rRNA from 1 species